ensembl:lncRNA
AAAGGAAAAUGCCUGCAGCCCCUUCCGUUGGCCGAGCCAUCUCCAGAGUGUCGGUUUUUCCGGGUACAGAUCCAGCGGGUCCCCAGCAUCUCGCAGACCCGUGCGGACAGGUGGGGACAUUUGGGGACACGUAGGGAAGGAGGGUUGCUCUUCCGGGAGAGGAGCGGUCUCGGCGGAGGGACGUGCUCCGGCUUUCCGGAACGCAGCCCGUGCGGACCCGGAUCGAGCGCGGGGAGCGUGCUUUGAGAUGACAAGGAGCUGGCCGAGACCGGAGGCUUCCCGCCCCGAGCCGGAGCCAGGAGUCCCCCAGAGGCGCAGCUGAGGAUGCCCGCACCUGCGGAGAGUCGGGACAGGAGCCCUCUUCCCCAGACGGGCGGCCCACGCACGGAGCUGCCUCCGCUCCAAGCCCGGUGGCCGCGGCCACGUCCACGCAUCCGCUCGGAGAGCCGUUGCCCCGGGGAGGGCAGCGUGAGAGGGCUGGCCACGCAUCUCUGCUGACUUCAUCUCCCAGCGAGGGGAGGACGGCGGCGGCGGAGUGCAAGCCCGAUGGAAAGCCAGACUGGACUCCGAAUGCCCCCACCGGCUGGGGGCCCUCUGCACGCUUCGCGGUGGUCUUCGGACCCGGAGCGCCCGGCCAGGCCUGCAGUUCUGCCACUGCUGGCUGUGCCACCUGGAAAAGUUAUCUAAACCUCUCUGUACCCCAGUCUCCUUCUUCGUCACCUGGUGAUCAUAACUGUCCUGACCUCAUUGGAUGGCUAUGAGGUUUAAACGAGGUAAUAUGUGCCCAAGGUUGUUCUGAACAGGGUUUCUUUUGUUUGGAAGGAUUAAAAAAAAAAAAUUGGAAUACUCUCUAAAAAGAGUAACUGACCUCAGUACCCUUGAGUGCCCGGUAUUGAAUGAGGGGGUUCACGAAUGGGCAUCAGGGUGGAUGGUCCUGCCUCCAACACUGCAAAGCCUUGUGUCGGUGUAUUGUAUAGAAAUACUUUUUUUGCCUAGGAGUCCACAGGCUAAGAUGCUCAAAGGGGUCGUGACUCAAGAUUGGGUGCCUAGGGGGUUUCAAGUGCCUUUGUUCUAGACUGGAGUUUCUCAGCCUUGGCACUAUUGACAUUUGGGGCCAGAUAAUUCUUUGUUGUGGGGGUCUGUCCUGUGCAUUGUAGGGUGGUUAGCAGCAUCGCCAGCUCUUUCCAUGAGAUGCCAGGAGCAUCCCCUCCAACUUGUGAUGAUCAAAAAUGUCUCCAGACAUUGCUAAAUGUCCUCGGGGGUGGGAGGGGGGCUCAAAAUUGCCUCUGGCUGAGAACUACGGCUUUGCAACAUUCCCUGUGGAGGACGUCCUCGGUAAGUUGAAGCUGAGCAAGAUUACUUUUCUGACCCUCAGUGGUCUCUGCCUACUUCUGUGCACUGUAUGGAGGGUCCAGUUACAUCCUGGCAAAGGCUUUUCAAAGUUGAUGGACCACAGACUUUCCAAGCCCCAGCCCUGUUUGCUGUCAACUAUUGGUUCCCAGACCUGGCUGGGCAGCUAGAUCAACUGGAACUCGGUUUUUAUUAUAUUAAUUUUUUCUCAAACCUAAAGGAUUUUUAAAGCAUUAAAUGCAACAUAAAUCACUCAGUUCAUUACUAUUCAUUAAAACCUGAGCUACAAUUAAAGUUAAAUAGUUAAUUCUUUGGGGAACAAGGUCUUGAGGUAAUCUCCUUUUGUGGCGAAUACAUCUUUUUUAACCACAGAUCUCAGAACUGAUAGUUCCUCGUUCAGGAGAAAGAUCAGAGAAGGAUUUUAAGGAGAAGGCCCAGUGAGGAAACAGAUGUGGGAGAAACGUCAGAAGUAUUUGCUGGGGCAUCCUGGAUGUGUUGAGGAUCUUUGACUCCCCCCCUCUUUUUUAAUGAUUAAUUGUCCUCCAUAGGCGAAUCAGGCUUGGCUCUUCUUCUCUUGCUUAACUCCUUGUACACCUGCUCCAACAUGUCCCCAGAAAUUUCAAAUGACUCCAGGACGUGUCGCUCUCGGGAGCUUUGUUCCGGAAUGCUCAUGGAGCUUGCUUUGGGCAGUCCUUCAGUUGCGAGUCCUUCAGUCUCAUUGUUGGGGCUGUGAUGCCGGGUGCCAGGCAGCAGACACAAGCUUUGGAGAUGCUAUGGGUGCAACAUGGAGCACCUCUGGGUGAAGAUCCCUUAGACUAAGGGAACCAGGUGCUGGCUUUUGCCUUGAGUCAGUCCCACGCUCUGUGGGACUUGGGGAUCUCGUCAAUGACUCCAGGUAGAAGAAUCAGCCUGGAGUCGACUUCUGGGAGGUAUGUGUCAAUAGUGCUGAGUGUGGGCAUCUGAGUCCCUCUUUGCAAUUGUGUGCACCUGGGUGUCAUCUGCACAUCUGGUCCUGUGAGCUCAGAUUAGGAUUCCCAGUAGUACCUUGUGACACCACAGCUGUGCCGUGACAAAUGUAAAAUGUGCUGAGACAUCUAGAGUUUGGUAAGGCAUGUGCACCAUGGCCCUGUUGCCGGCUGCUUUAAAGGCAUCAAGGUGGCUCUCUGCAGAGCGAAUAUGGCUGUUUUCAUGGGUGUCUCUAAACGAUACCACUAGGCUGUUGAGGGCUGCAUGGUAUAGACCAAGUCAAUGUUGCAGUUCGUCAUCAACCUGUGGUAUCAGAGAUUCUGGUUCCCCGUGUGAGUGUGGUAGUCGUGGAGCUGGGGUAUCAGGUUCGGAAUUAACUGCAAAUGGCACCUCUGAGAACAUGUCUCUUCAAGCUGGGCAAACUGCACCAAGGCUUGUGGUGCAAAUUGUCGUAGCAGUGUGGGAGUCCUCACAUUUGCUAUGUAGACAGCAGAGCCGAUACUGGAGUAUGUCCAGUCUCCACAGGUGGGUCCACAGUCUCAUAAUUCUCACUUGAAAGAGCCAGGGAGCACUGCUGAGGAAGGUGAGGAUUGGGGUGGCCCUGGAUGGGCCAUCUUUGUGACAACCGAGUUGUUUCCUUUUUGACAUUAUGGCAGAGUGGGUCUUCUGCUCUUACCUGAAGAAGUUAAUGGUUUUGGCAAAGCACAGAUAUGAGAUCAGUAGAGAGCUCAGAUGAGCCUAGGACAAGGUAUAGGGGCUUCCUUAGCAGGCAUGGCCCCCUGUCUAGGCUGAGCUCCUCCAGUGAGGGACAAGGAGGACCUUGUAGGUUGGUGCAUUGUUGUUGGUGGGAAGAAACAGUUUGAGCAGUGGUCUUUGUAGUGGUCAGAUAGUUUUUUAAACCCCACACCUCAGAUCGUUGUCUGCAUUUUCCCUCUUGGGCAAAAGGAAGUUCUAACUUGGGGAAAGCACAGAUUGUAUUUUCUCAGUAGGCCUAAGGGGAACCAUAGGUGGAGGAACGAAGGGGCACUGGAGGUCCUCCCAGGUGGGUGGGAUCUCCCUGGUGGGGUGGGCAUCUUUGUCUUGAUGUGAUCAUGGAAAUCAUGGAAAUGACAGGUGGCCCGUGACAUCCUGCUAUUUAGAAGAGAAGAGUUUCUUGCAUCUCUUGGUGGGACCCCAGCUGUACCAUGUAGGAGGCACACCACACACUCAAGGCCUCAGAUGACCCCUUGGAACUGGUGUUGGGACCUCCAGUCGGGGCUGGGCUCCUUCAGCAAGAAGAGAAAGACCCUACAGGUUGGCAUAUUGUUGGUGCUGGGAGCGAGAUUUCACCUGUUUUGAUGGUUGGGCCAGAAGAGCUCUCUGAUCAUUGAGGGUGUCUUCCAGGAAGUUUCUGGUGACUGCUUGCUUCUUGGAGUUGGGACACGGUUUGUUGAAGAGUCUCUUUCUUGGUGUGUUUGUCCUAAAACAUGUCUCAAGUUGGCAGUUCCCACUUUCUCUGUGUCAAGAGCUCUUCUAACAUCCUCUGCCAUGAAUGAGGGUUCAUGGCUUUCCUGGUUCAGAAUGCAAAUGUAAAUUUUAUAGGACCUCUCUUGUUUUUCUAAUUUUUUCUCCAGGUCUUGGAUUUUCUGCUUAUUCAUUUUCACUUCCUCAAGCAGCUUCUGCUCUUUCUCCUUCCUGAUUGGCUGUCUGUGCACCAUCGUGACUUGUUGCCCAUGGCCUUCAUUAAGGCCUGUGUGGUUUUGCCUUCAUUUUCCAGGUGAGCAUUGACCCGGUGCAGGGGACCCUUGCCUCCUUCCUUGCCUUACCUACUCUUCCAACACUUGCACGCUGGACACAUCAUCUCGCUCAGAAUUGGAAGGCCGCAUCUUUUUCAAACCACUCUCUUUCUUCCUGACUUUGUUAGUGUUGCAGAGCCCUGACUUGCUGCUCAUGGCCUUCUGAAGGCUUGUGUGAUGUUCCUCUUGAGUUUUCGGCCGAGCAUGGGCUGUGCGCCCUCUUUGUUCUCCCUGCUAUGGCAUGGUGAUACUGCCACUCUCUGUUUGGAAGAGAAGGAGGCUGCAUCUUUCAAACUGUUGUGGACAGUGUUUUGUCCGGGGAUUGUCAUGAUCUGAUCCGUCAGACUUCGUAUUUUUUUUUAUCCUGGAAUUCGGCUGCUUUCUGCCUCGUGGCACAUUGGAUGCCGGGGCCGGGGGCAUGAGCCAUGGUAAAUGGCACCAGGAAAUUGGGGUAUUUGCCCACCGACUCCUUUCUCUUCUUGGCUGAGGGAUGCUCUGCAGGCGUUAACUCUCCAGAACUUGCGGCCUCCCCGCCUUUGAGGGUCCAUUUCUUUUCCCCUUUGUGCUUUCUCCUGGAGUGCUUCAGUUCCUUUCCAGUUCACCCAGCUGUGUCAGCUGCUUAGUCUUUGAUGAAAUGUCCUCUCUUCUGAGGAGUGUGUCCUGACUUUGAUGAUCUUUAUGACACCAGAGGCCAAGAAAAGCGACACUGCAAAGGGAGUCAGAGCAGCAGCCCCCUUCCUUCAGGACUUGUAAGGGCCACCUUUGGGGUGAGACCAGAGAUCUGUCCUCUAGGCUGUGACUGUGGGGACAGCUGGUGCCCCUUCAGCUUCUCCUUUGUGUGUGCUGACAAUAAUCCUUGGGGGACGCGUUGCCCUGUCCACCCCUGCCGCAGAGCCACGGUUUGCUGUGCGGGCUUUGUCAUUUAGAGCAUGGUUUUGUGCUUCAAAACUUUUCUUUGGGUUUUAAAAUUAACAUUCAGGAGGCUCGCUUUUCCUUAACCUUUAAGUUCCAUUUGCAAUUUCUGCUCUUAACAAAUUUUAACGAUCCCUUUUAAGGGGAGUUGGUGAGAUUCCGGGUCCCAUUGGAAGUGGUUAGUGGUGACGGCCCAUCUCCUGCUCAUGACAAGCUAACAGUCACAGACUGGGCGGUGCAGCCUGGUGCCGGUCCUGUUCUGCCCUGGGCUGGUGGUCCAUAAGCUCAUUUCUCUCUCCAUGUUCCAUUGAGGUGAGGCUGGCUUCGGGGACAGGCGACCUGUGCUGUCACGCAGGCCCCACACUUGGUUUAAUGCUCUGCUGUCGUCAUCUUGAAAUUCUUAAGAAUCUUUUGAAGAAGGAAGCCCCGUGUUUUCUUUUAGCACUGGGCCCUACAGAUCAUUUACCUGGUAAGUCCUGAAGAGGGGCAGUUACAGACCAGAGUGUGUCCCUCAGCAUUACUGAGGGCAGCGGGGGAGGAGGGAAGAGCUCACUGGAGAAAGAGUUGUGGAAAGAGGCUGGGGUUAAGGAGAGAGAGAGUGGAGGGUGGGUAGAGAGGGAGAGGGCCCACCUUAAAAUCAACGGGAUGAAUAGGAUGAGAGAUUAGGCAUUUUGUGUGGGACUCAGAAAGGCAAGAACAUCCCCGCGAUGGUUUGCCUCCGCAAUUAUUUGCCAUCUCAUCAGACGGGGAGCCCCGUGUGGGCAGGGAUGGGUUUGCUUUGGUUCUUUACCAGGUAACUCCCGGUGUGAGUGUAGCAUAAUGGACAGCCUGUAGCUGAGGCUCCGAACAAUAGCCGUCAAACAAUGACAAACUUCAUCACUGAGCUGAAUGGCAGUGGAAUACGUUUCUUUGACGAGCAGCGAAUCCCCGGUGGGUCAGGGCACUGGUUAAGCAGAAACCAGUGGGUCGUUGGGUGUUAAUCACUGAUAUUUCUGUUGUUGGUUGAAUGCAGUGGAGCACAUGCCCUUUGGUACACAUCUGGGGUUGCAGCCCCUGGCCCUAACCCCAUGAAUCGCUCAGUGCCUGUUGAAGAACUUUCUUCUCUCAGCAUCUGGCCCUCCAAUCUGGAUUCUUUGUGUCUCUGCUGGGUUCCUUUUUCUUCCCCUGCCUCCCACCAUAGGCACCAUGGCGCUCCAACUCAAGCACCUUAAAAAUGUCCACUUAACAGAAUGACAGAUGGCAUGGUUGGUCCCUCCAACCACUUCUGUCACUUUCUGCCUAUUUCCACAUUAAGUACAUGCUUCCCACCUGACUAGCACUCCCACCCUUACCCCUGCAACUGAACAAACCCUUUGGUCAAUGUAGGUGGUCUGUAUAUAAUAAAUAGGCUUGCUUUGCUUCUGUGGUAUCUACCCAACCCCACACGCCUUCCCUGUCCUGGGAGCUGCUCCCUCGGAGGCCGACCCUCCCCUGCUUCUCAUCGUGCAUGAAUUUCCUGGAAUAAAUCCUCCAGGAUGAGGCAUCUUGGGGAAGACAAAGAUGCUGGGAGUCCAGGAGAGGGUCUCUGGUAUCAGCUCUGUUCUGGACACCGGUAGCUGGAGUGGGGUCGGGGAGCCCGUAAGUAUUUUUCUUUGAUGGGGGUGUGGGACCUCCAGUGCAGAGGGUGAAUUUAAGCACGCGCCUCAGUUCAUGACAGUUCAUUAUCAAGGGUCUACUCUCUUGUGGGUUUUAAUCUUUUUGAAUGAGAUUUCCCACUCUCACACCUCCCUCUCCCACUGUGGGCAACGGUUCUGGAAUGCCCAGUGCGUGUCUUUUGGUUUUUUAUUGCUCCAACAAAGCACUGUUCCUAUCUUAUGUGUAAGCACUUUUAAUUCACAUAGAUGGUAUUGUCAUGCCAUUUCUUAUUCUGUUUCCUUUCUCACUCAACACUGUAUUUUAAGACGUGAUCUUCCGUUCCACAUUCUUAAAAUUUAUUGAGAUUACCCAAAGAGCUUUUGUUUAUGUGGGUUAAAACUAUCGAUAUUUACUACCUUAAAAAUUGAAACGGAGAUGUUUAAAAAUACUUAUUUAUUGAUUCAUUUGAAAAUAGCAAUGAUGAGCCCAUUGCACAUUAAUGUAAAUAACAUUUUAGCAUUAUUAUGAAAAUAGUUUUGACCCCGAAGACUCCCUGUCCUACAAUAAAGUGUCAGUUUGUUCCAGAAUGUGAAAAGGCCCUGUGAAGGACAAAGUUUGGAAAGUGAAUUUUAUAAGACCUGCAUCUGAAAAGAAACCAUGGAAUAUAUUAUAUUUUAGCAGAGUUUGUUCAGGUUUGAUGGGCUUGUUUCCUUGGUUUACUGAUUAAUAUGAGUGCCUACAAUAUGGAAAGUCAUUCUAGAAGGGGGAGAUUCUGUGUUUGACCAGAGAAUUUUUUGGUGCUUUAUGUUGAAUUUACCGUGUCUAAGAUUAUUUUAAAACACUGGGAACAAAACGCUCCUCAAUUAUAAACAAGCUAUAUGUAUACUUCUUUGUUUAUUUUACUCAUUUAUUUCACAAUCUGUGCCUGUGUAGGCUUUUAAAAGGAAAAUUAACAUAUUAUUCACCUUUUUAGAGAGUAGAGGUCAAUGGCUUUUAGGCUAUUAUUAGGUUGUGCAGCCGUCACCGCUAUCUAAUUCUACCUCAUUCCAGAACAUUUUCGAAAUGAAACCCUGUACCCAUUAGCUGUCAUUCCCCAUUUUCCUCUCCCAAACCCCAGCCCCUGGGAAUCAUUAGUCUACUUUGAGUCUCAAUGGAUUUGCCUAUUUUGGACAUUUCAUAUAAAUGGAAUCACACAAUAUGUGGCCUUUUUUGUCUGGCUUCUUUUGCUUAGCACAAUGUUCUUGAGGGUUAUCCAUGUUUAGUAUGUAUGAGGACUUCGUUCCAUUUUAUGGGUGAGUAAGAUUCCAUUGCAUGGAUACACCACAUUUUAUUUAUCCUGUCAUCACUUGAUGGUCAUUUGGGUUGUUUCCACUUUUUGGCUAUUAUGAAUACUGCUGCUAUGAACAUUUGUGUGUAAGCUUUUUGUUUCCAUAUGUCUUCAAUACCCCUGAGUCUGUUUACUUUUCAAUGUUAUCGCUUAAUUAAAUGGUUAACCGAAGAUUGUUUCUCAGGCACCUAUGGCAUUUAUUAACAAGUGUCCAGAUCUCUUCUGACAGCUCUUUAGAUUUUGCCUUCCCAAAUAAUUUAAUAUGCAAAGAAAAAAAGUGAAAGGGAACUUUGAGGAUAUCUUUCACAACUACAGUGAUCUUUGAGAUUCCCUGAGGAGACUUGGAAAAUCACAAAGAUUUGUUUUUGCACCUUAUUAAAAGAGAGAUGCUAGAAAUAAUUAGGUUCGUCUGAUGUGUUAUUAUUGUAAGAUUUGCACGAGAAGAGUUGUCAGAUGGGAAGCCAUGUUCAGCCUUCCUGAGGUUAAGCUUAUAUGGAUGAGAUGCUAAUGUAAGUAUUUUAGAAAUUGUAUGUUUUAUGGGAAGUCCCUGGCGAUCUGUCAAUGCUCUCACUGCCCAUAUGUUUUUUCCCUCAGGGGAAAUGCUCAUCUAACGUCUUUUGAAAUGGUUCUGUACUGUACCCUGAGAGAGAUGUCUGCUCUCCUGCAUUCUGAUAUUAUUGGUUAGAGCCAUCAAUUAACCACAGCUCUGGCAUCUCUGUCAUCGUACAAAUAUUUCUGUUUCCUCUGAUGCUUGCCUGAAGGCUCUGCUCUAAGCCGCAGCCUGCAGCCUGUGUCUUCAAUGCAAAGGGCCAGUCUUAGAGCCUCUUGAUAAAUGACCGUACCAGGUACUUCAAACCUGCCGUACUUUAAAGAGUAGACUCCUGGGUGCAGGCUUCUGACUGGCGUCACUUAAGCAACUCCAAGACUAGGCCCGCAGACCCAGUCAGGAUUUCCAGGACUCUCUUUGGUCCAGAAGCGGACGGCUUCAUUACAGCGGACUGCUAAGCCAAUCUAGCGGAACAAGAAUGAAUGGCAGGGGGCUGCAUGAAGUGAUGUAGGAAUUUAUUGUGGUUAUUGGUUUAUGGUGAUGUUGUUUGAACACUCUGCUUUCUGGCUAUGUGGGGGUGCCUUUUCUCUUCUUCAGCUCCCUGUAACCCACAACAAUUUAGUAGACUCUGCUUUUGUAAAUGGAAAUAAAAUGUUUACAAAUGAUGCUCGGUUUUCACUGGUGUGCCCUGGCAUCUCAUUGUGGUUUUAAUUUGCAUUUCCCGAAUGGCUAAUGAUGUCGAUCAUCUUUCAUGUGUCUGUCUGCCAUCCGUAUCCCUCUUUAGUGAAGCGGCCCAAGUUCUCCCAGCAGACUGUGGACUCUGAACGGAAACAAAGGACAGGCAUAAGGAGCACCCUGAGCCAGGCUUCUGGGCAGUUUCCGGGCCCCCAUCUCUUCAGCGUCUCCCCUGCCCCUGCCAUGGGACCAGUGUGUACAGGUCAGCUCCUGGGCUGUGGCAGACAGACUUGUCCCCGUGGGAUGUCUGCCGGGUUGGAAGACUGACACCCCCGAAGGAGGAGGCUCAUCCCAGAGGGUGGCACUUUCUCUGAAAGUUUAGUGUCCACACAGGAGCCAGAGUGACCUUUAAAAUACAUCAAAUUAUGUCGUUUCUUUGAUGUCGCCCCUUCAGUGGCUUCCCUUGACACAACAAGAUCUGAAGUCCUUUCCAUCACGGCCUUCAACGUACCACGUAACCUGGCCUCACUUGUUUCCCCAAUCUCAUCUACUGUUCACCCCUUUCCUUCAUUCUGCCUUGGCCCCAGUGACCUUCUUUGUGAGCCUAUGGGGAACUCUUCCACCUCAGGGCCUUUGCACUUGCUGUUUCUUCUGUCUGGACUCUCUUCCUCAAGAUGGCAGCAAGGUUCACUCCCUUACCUCACUCAUGUCUCCACUUGAAUGUCAUCUUUUCAGAGAACCUAAAAUAACCCUCGCCCCUUUCUGUCCCUUUCCCUUGUUGAACUUUUCUUUAGAGCACUUAUCACUACAUCAUGAAUAUUUUUAUCUAUGUUUAUGUCUUUCACCUUAGAGUAUAAGCUUCAUGAAGGUCCUCAAUAAAUGUUUGUUAUUGGAUGAAGACAAUGGAUCCCAAUGGACAAAGUGCCCAUGGGAGUGGCACCCGAGCUGAACGUUGGGAAGCCAAGGAGGGGACCCAGAGGAAGAGACAGUUCCUUUGUUACUACUGCCAAGGGGUCUGUGGGCCACACAUUCGAAGGUGCUGGAGGACACCAAAGGGGGCCCUCCUCAUGGGGUCACAUGUUCCCUGAGUGGUCAGGGCCACACCUUCUCAGUGCCACCAGAGCUAUCCCUCCUGUCUUUGUCUUCUCAUUGUAUCCCCAUGCAACAUACGGUAGAAGGUAGUUAUCAAGAAAAUAUCUUUGUUUUUAGCACUUUCCUUGGAAAAACCGCAGGGGUCCAAACCCUUUGGAGGUUGUUCCCAGUGACUUGGCACCUGGUGGAUUUGAACAGCCUGCUCUGGGAACGUCUCAUCUUGGUCUUGAGAUGCAACCUAAUUCCAGCUUAUUGAGCUAAGGUUCUGAGCACGGCCCUCCUCCUCGGGACUUCCUAAGUGGACUUGAUGCCCCUGGGCACUUUCCUUUCUUUUAAUAGAUUGUUUCUGCUGGCUUUUGUGGUAGAAGCUGGGGCAGUUGAUGGAGAAACUCAGCCAAGCCAAGAGAAAGGUGCUGGAGAACCUAUGUAUCCCUCACAGGGGCGGGGCCGUUCCUGGGUGGACCUGGGAGGACCUGGGAGACUAGGGCAGAACACAGGUGCCCCCCAGGUCCCCUUGCUCCAAACUAUAGAGUCAGAUGGCUUUCGGUAAUCUUUCCAAAGGGAAUUGUGCAAAUGUACCCCAGAGACAAUUGCAUUUGAGGUUGAAAUCUCUGUAUCUGAAAGGGCUGCUCUAUGCCUGACUUUGGUUCAGGUCCCAAGCCCCUAUUUGGAAUGGGAAAUCCCACUCAAGGGCAGGGAGCUUGGCUAGGAUCUUCCUUCAAAAGAUUGUGUUUGGAGCUCACCAGCUCCUAAUGCAUCUGUGAGUCAGGCAGCAACCAAGUCCAGUGUUCAUGGAGAGAAAGAAGCAGUUAAAAUGAAUCCCAGGUGCCACCCUAUGCUCCCUGUCACCUCAGCCCCUGUUCACCUGGCAUGGUCUCCUUAACACAGGACAGUCUGAAGGCAUCACUAAUGAUGGCACCAUGAUGGCCUUGGGAUCUCUCUCCUCUCUCCCUUUGUCCCGAUGAACAGAUAUCUGCAUUCAGAAUGCCCUAAACGGGCUCCUUAAGGAGACGAAGUCUCCUUGAGAGCAUGAGUUUCCCCUUCCACUGAGCAGAAAGUGUGCCUGGAGAAAGGGCUCCAGCACACCCGGGUCUGGGAGCUGCAACCGGGUAGAAAAGGACCCUGCUCUGUCCCCGUGUGGAUCUAAACCGGGCAACUGCUCCACCCCACCUUGCCCCGAUGCUUUGAGGGGAGCGCAGAUAGAGCAGUGUGUGUCUGGGAGGGCAGGUGUGAACCUGCAGACUGGGCUACAGCACCUCGUUGGAAGACCAGGGAUGACGGGGUGAUGGCACUUGGUGGACAGGAGGUGCCCUGUAGGAUACACAGGGAGGGCAGGGAAAUGGAUCGGUAUUCGGACGUGCAGCAGGGCCUCGUGGGAGUGGUUAGAUGGCCCCUCUCCCUCUGCUCUCUCCCUUUCUGUCUUUCUCAUUCUCUCUUAUUCUGUUUGUUUCUCUGUCUCUGUCUCUCUCUCAUUCUGUCUCUCUCUCUGUCUCCCUCCUUCCUUCCUGUGCUUUUCUCUGCGUAUUUUCUCCACUAUUCUGACUGGCUUCCUCUCCCAGGCUCUUGGUUUCUACUCUUCCCAGCAUCAGUCGGGGCUUUGGUUUUGGAUUGCCAUGGUGCCACCUCUCAGCCUCGGAGCUAUAGCACUACCUAGCCCCAGUGCCACAUGGUCUGCCUGACAGCCUGGAUCUCAACCCUGGAUUCCGGGAGACUCUUACUGGCCCAGCUUGGACCAGAUGUCCCCUCUCAGCCCAGUCAGCUGCGGGCAGGCGGAGAGGGGUCAGGUGGCUCACUGGGCUGCACCAUCCGGCUUGUGAACAGCAUGGCUUCUCUUGGAAAGGGGUGUGGCUUGGAAAGAAAUGAAGCUUAUAUCUGAUCCAGGUAUAUCUACCCCUCUGGGGUCCAUUAAUCUAGAUGGGUUCCUGGAAAUCAAAUAGAGGACAUUUCCAAAGGUGACUUCAGAGUCACACCUGCCGUAUUUGAGUCCUAGCUUUGCCACUUCAGAGUUGUAUCACCUUGAACAAGUUACUGUCUUUGAGCUUUAGUUUCUUCAUCUGACAAUAGUAUCCAUUGCAUAAGAUUGUUGUGGGAUUAAAUGAGGUCAUGUCAAAAUGCAUCUUGUAGGCAGUCAAUAAAUGAUAGCAUUAAAAAAAAUGAGUUAUCUCUCUACUCUAGGAUCUCAAAGAGCUCUAUGGACCCAAAGGCCAAGCUGGCCCUAUAUCAAGGGGUACGUGAUGAGUUGUUGUGGGCUAAACUGGACUUUGAGGAGGAGAAGUUAGGUUUGUGGCAUUCUAGGACUCCUGGUUGGAGGUCCCCCUGCUUGCUGGAGGUCACCUAGCCCCACUGUUCCACACCCCACUGGUAUCCCUACCCUAAAGUGUGUGGAUCUAAUCUGUGGGAUUCAUACCCUGGCUCUGCCCCCAACUGGCCAUGAGAUGUGGGGCUGGUUACUUAAUCUCUGAGUUUCGGGGUCUUUACAGUGGAGACAACCGCAGCACCUCUCUCAGAGGCUUAAGAGAGAUACCUCAGCUAGACUGUUCAGCACAAUACCUGGCACUUAGUAAGUUUCACUGAGCUGGUAACUGCUGUUAUAACCUCGGAGACGUAGAAAGAAACAGGGAGCAAAGAACAGACAGGUUGCUGAACAGAUAGGCAGUGGAUGGCGAGUGAAAGCCCAGAGUCCUGGGGUCCCAGGGCCCUGCUUUAGUGGUUCUGCCCCAGUCGGACAGUCCUGACGCCCUCCCCCGUCCAUGGGAGAACAGGCUCUCUUUGUCAAGAUGGGCUGCGAACCGCAGAAGCUGACCACUCGACCAGAACUGGGUGAGC